CGGGGAAUUUUGGACAAUGGGGGAAACCCUGAUCCAGCCAUCCCGCGUGUUCGAUGAAGGACUUCGGGUUGUAAAGCACUUUUGGCAGGAAAGAAACGUCAUGGGUUAAUACCCCGUGAAACUGACGGUACCUGCAGAAUAAGCACCGGCUAACUACGUGCCAGCAGCCGCGGUAAUACGUAGGGUGCAAGCGUUAAUCGGAAUUACUGGGCGUAAAGCGUGCGCAGGCGGUUCGGAAAGAAAGAUGUGAAAUCCCAGAGCUCAACUUUGGAACUGCAUUGUUAGCUACCGGACUGGAGUGUGUCAGAGGGAGGUGGAAUUCCGCGUGUAGCGGUGAAAUGCGUAGAUAUGCGGAGGAACACCGAUGGCGAAGGCAGCCUCCUGGGAUAACACUGACGCUCAUGCACGAAAGCGUGGGGAGCAAACAGG
rnacentral:rRNA from 1 species